UUAAAUUGAAGAGUUUGAUCAUGGCUCAGAUUGAACGCUGGCGGCAGGCCUAACACAUGCAAGUCGAACGGUAACAGGAAGAAGCUUGCUUCUUUGCUGACGAGUGGCGGACGGGUGAGUAAUGUCUGGGAAACUGCCUGAUGGAGGGGGAUAACUACUGGAAACGGUAGCUAAUACCGCAUAACGUCGCAAGACCAAAGAGGGGGACCUUCGGGCCUCUUGCCAUCGGAUGUGCCCAGAUGGGAUUAGCUAGUAGGUGGGGUAACGGCUCGCCUAGGCGACGAUCCCUAGCUGGUCUGAGAGGAUGACCAGCCACACUGGAACUGAGACACGGUCCAGACUCCUACGGGAGGCAGCAGUGGGGAAUAUUGCACAAUGGGCGCAAGCCUGAUGCAGCCAUGCCGCGUGUAUGAAGAAGGCCUUCGGGUUGUAAAGUACUUUCAGCGGGGAGGAAGGGAGUAAAGUUAAUACCUUUGCUCAUUGACGUUACCCGCAGAAGAAGCACCGGCUAACUCCGUGCCAGCAGCCGCGGUAAUACGGAGGGUGCAAGCGUUAAUCGGAAUUACUGGGCGUAAAGCGCACGCAGGCGGUUUGUUAAGUCAGAUGUGAAAUCCCCGGGCUCAACCUGGGAACUGCAUCUGAUACUGGCAAGCUUGAGUCUCGUAGAGGGGGGUAGAAUUCCAGGUGUAGCGGUGAAAUGCGUAGAGAUCUGGAGGAAUACCGGUGGCGAAGGCGGCCCCCUGGACGAAGACUGACGCUCAGGUGCGAAAGCGUGGGGAGCAAACAGGAUUAGAUACCCUGGUAGUCCACGCCGUAAACGAUGUCGACUUGGAGGUUGUGCCCUUGAGGCGUGGCUUCCGGAGCUAACGCGUUAAGUCGACCGCCUGGGGAGUACGGCCGCAAGGUUAAAACUCAAAUGAAUUGACGGGGGCCCGCACAAGCGGUGGAGCAUGUGGUUUAAUUCGAUGCAACGCGAAGAACCUUACCUGGUCUUGACAUCCACGGAAGUUUUCAGAGAUGAGAAUGUGCCUUCGGGAACCGUGAGACAGGUGCUGCAUGGCUGUCGUCAGCUCGUGUUGUGAAAUGUUGGGUUAAGUCCCGCAACGAGCGCAACCCUUAUCCUUUGUUGCCAGCGGUCCGGCCGGGAACUCAAAGGAGACUGCCAGUGAUAAACUGGAGGAAGGUGGGGAUGACGUCAAGUCAUCAUGGCCCUUACGACCAGGGCUACACACGUGCUACAAUGGCGCAUACAAAGAGAAGCGACCUCGCGAGAGCAAGCGGACCUCAUAAAGUGCGUCGUAGUCCGGAUUGGAGUCUGCAACUCGACUCCAUGAAGUCGGAAUCGCUAGUAAUCGUGGAUCAGAAUGCCACGGUGAAUACGUUCCCGGGCCUUGUACACACCGCCCGUCACACCAUGGGAGUGGGUUGCAAAAGAAGUAGGUAGCUUAACCUUCGGGAGGGCGCUUACCACUUUGUGAUUCAUGACUGGGGUGAAGUCGUAACAAGGUAACCGUAGGGGAACCUGCGGUUGGAUCACCUCCUUACCUUAAAGAAGC
rnacentral:rRNA from 1 species